rnacentral:rRNA from 1 species
AUAUUUGCUGGAAUGCUUUAUGCGUCAAAAGGAUUCGUCUGCCCAAGGAUGGGUCUGCGGCCUAUCAGGUAGUAGUGGGUGUAAUGUACCUACUAGCCAGCGACGGGUACGGGUUGUGAGAGCAAGAGCCCGGAGAUGGAUUCUGAGACAUGAAUCCAGGCCCUACGGGGCGCAGCAGGCGCGAAAACUUUACAAUGCGGGAAACCGUGAUAAGGGGACACCGAGUGCCAGCAUCAUAUGCUGGCUGUCCGGAUGUGUAAAAUACAUCCGUUAGCAAGGGCCGGGCAAGACCGGUGCCAGCCGCCGCGGUAACACCGGCGGCCCGAGUGGUGAUCGUGAUUAUUGGGUCUAAAGGGUCCGUAGCCGGUUUGGUCAGUCCUCCGGGAAAUCUGAUAGCUCAACUAUUAGGCUUUCGGGGGAUACUGCCAGACUUGGAACCGGGAGAGGUAAGAGGUACUACAGGGGUAGGAGUGAAAUCUUGUAAUCCCUGUGGGACCACCUGUGGCGAAGGCGUCUUACCAGAACGGGUUCGACGGUGAGGGACGAAAGCUGGGGGCACGAACCGGAUUAGAUACCCGGGUAGUCCCAGCCGUAAACGAUGCUCGCUAGGUGUCAGGCAUGGCGCGACCGUGUCUGGUGCCGCAGGGAAGCCGUGAAGCGAGCCACCUGGGAAGUACGGCCGCAAGGCUGAAACUUAUAGGAAUUGGCGGGGGAGCACAACAACGGGUGGAGCCUGCGGUUUAAUUGGACUCAACGCCGGACAACUCACCGGGGGCGACAGCAAUAUGUAGGCCAAGCUGAAGACUUUGCCUGAAUCGCUGAGAGGAGGUGCAUGGCCGUCGCCAGUUCGUACUGUGAAGCAUCCUGUUAAGUCAGGCAACGAGCGAGACCCGUGCCCACUGUUACCAGCAUGUCCUCCGGGACGAUGGGUACUCUGUGGGGACCGCCGAUGUUAAAUCGGAGGAAGGUGCGGGCCACGGUAGGUCAGUAUGCCCCGAAUCUCCCGGGCUACACGCGGGCUACAAUGGAUGGGACAAUGGGUCCCUCCCCUGAAAAGGGCUGGUAAUCUCACAAACCCAUUCGUAGUUCGGAUCGAGGGCUGUAACUCGCCCUCGUGAAGCUGGAAUCCGUAGUAAUCGCGUCA